GAUGAACGCUGGCGGCGUGCCUAAUACAUGCAAGUCGAGCGAAGCGGGGACGGGGGAGUAUCACGUGGAUAACCUCCUUUAUGAAUGGGAUAACUUCGGGAAACCGGAGCUAAACCGGCUACUUUUAGCAGGUUCCUAGCUGCAUUAGCUAGUUGGUAAGGUAACCGCUUACCAAGGCACCGAUGCAUAGCAGACGUGAGCGGGUGAUCGGCCACACUGGAACUGAGACACGGUCCAGACUCCUACGGGAGGCAGCAGUAGGGAAUCUUCCGCAAUGGGCGAAAGCCUGACGGAGCAACGCCGCGUGAGUGAUGAAGGUCUUCGGAUCGUAAAACUCUGUUAUUAGGGAAGCGGUACCGAAUCAGAAAGCCACGGCUAACUACGUGCCAGCAGCCGCGGUAAUUC
rnacentral:rRNA from 1 species